rnacentral:rRNA from 1 species
UGUAGUCAUAUGCUUGUCUCAAAGAUUAAGCCAUGCAUGUCUAAGUAUAAGCAAUUAUACAGCGAAACUGCGAAUGGCUCAUUAUAUAAGUUAUCGUUUAUUUGAUAGUACCUUACUACUUGGAUAACCGUGGUAAUUCUAGAGCUAAUACAUGCUAAAAAUCCCGACUUCGGAAGGGAUGUAUUUAUUAGAUUAAAAACCAAUGCCCUUCGGGGCUCACUGGUGAUUCAUGAUAACUCCUCGAAUCGCAUGGCCUUGUGCCGGCGAUGGUUCAUUCAAAUUUCUUCCCUAUCAACUUUCGAUUUUUGAUG